GCUCCCUUCGGGGAGUGCAUAAAGUGGCGCACGGGUGAGUAACACGUAAGUAAUCUACCCUCGAGUGGGGAAUAACAACCGGAAACGGUUGCUAAUACCGCAUAAUGCAGCGGCACCGCAAGGUGACAGUUGUUAAAGGAGUAAUUCGCUUGAGGAGGAGCUUGCGGCAGAUUAGCUUGUUGGUAAGGUAACGGCUUACCAAGGCUACGAUCUGUAUCCGGUCUUAGAGGACGGUCGGACACACUGACACUGAAUAACGGGUCAGACUCCUACGGGAGGCAGCAGUCGGGAAUUUUGGGCAAUGGGCGAAAGCCUGACCCAGCAACGCCGCGUGAAGGAUGAAGUAUUUCGGUAUGUAAACUUCGAAAGAAUAGGAAGAAUAAAUGACGGUACUAUUUAUAAGCUCCGGCUAACUACGUGCCAGCAGCCGCGGUAAUACGUAGGGAGCAAGCGUUGUUCGGAUUUACUGGGCGUAAAGGGCGCGUAGGCGGCGCGGUAAGUCACUUGUGAAAUCUCUGAGCUUAACUCGGAACGGUCAAGUGAUACUGCAGUGCUAGAGUGCAGAAAGGGCAAUCGGAAUUCUUGGUGUAGCGGUGAAAUGCGUAGAUAUCAAGAGGAACACCUGAGGCGAAGGCGGGUUGCUAGGCUGACACUGACGCUGACAGCGCGAAAGCCAGGGGAGCAAACGGGAUUAGAUACCCCGGUAGUCCUGGCCCUAAACGAUGAAUACUUGGUGUCUGGAGUCUUAAUGCUCCGGGUGCCGUCGCUAACGUUUUUAGUAUUCCGCCUGGGGAGUACGCUCGCAAGAGUG
rnacentral:rRNA from 1 species